rnacentral:lncRNA from 1 species
UGAAUUAGGAGUGCGCUCAGAAUUUUAAGUAUCACGUUAGUAAGCUUUCAUUCAUCAAUGAAUGAAAUUAAAUGAUAAACAAAUUGUGCAGUACUAUGAAUAAUGUAAAGCGAAACAACAAUAUAAGAUACCCUAAGAACUGUAAAGAUAAGAUCGAAUGCCACUUUCUGAAGACAUUUACAGAAUCGUCAAUUCACAAUAUUAGAGAUUAAACGGUAUUUUCCAGAAAGAUUAUCUUCCUUCCUUGAGUUUGAAAUAUUUUCAACCAUCUUUUAACCUCAAAAUAUAUUUCGAAAAAUUUAUUUCCCUAUUUUAUGCACUAAUGAUUUACAUUCCUCCUGAAAUUGAAAAGCUUGUACUAAUAUUAAUUUUGAUAAUUCGGUACUUGUACAAUAACAUGAAGUAAUAGAUUCAUAAACACUCGGAAAACGAUAUAUGCAAUGCAUACAAUGUAGGCAUUUUAAAAUAGCCCGUACGCAUGUACGCAUAAGAAAUAUAUGUCAUAUUUUUACUCCGAUUGAAUUCGGGGUAUGUUUUGUGAUAACUUUUUCAGUGUAUGUACAACUGUAUCCACGCACGAUCGACUUUCUUGCUCAAUAGUAAGCCAUUUGAACUUUGGAGAUUGUGUUAUACCGCCCUCCACUGGAAAGAAUUUCUCUUUGCAUUGUCAACGUUGAUAUUAAUUGUAUGUGAGGCUACAGAUGUGGGUCAAGAUCCCUGGACUAGUGACAAAUCAAUGCUAUACUCAUACUUUCUGACUUGACCCUGCGACCAGUUUGGUGUUCUAAUUUGGACAACAAAAGCAAACUGUCUGGAUUUGAUAAGUAUAUGUUUAUUUUGCCUUUAUCAUGAAGCACAACUGCUAUUUACACUCAGUGUUUUGCAAUCACAUUUGAACAGUUGGAUAUCAAAAUAAGUAAAUAAAUUGGGAACAUAUUCAACAAACACAGUAAAUCUUCUUGUAUCUUUUGAGAGAAACCGGUUAUUGCUCUUCAUGAAUAACCGUCGAAGGAGUCAUUACGCCUGUGAAAAUUGUGCUCAAGUUCGACUGUUAUUCUAUGAAUCAUUAACGAUUUCCGAUAUAACUUCAAAACAUCGCUUUGAUGCUGCCUACAAGCCAUUCUAGUUUCUCUUCUGGCUGCAACAAUAAGCAGCAUAUACGGCGACGGAGGUUCGAAACUCUAUAUACAACUACGCAUGAGCCAAUGCUCCAAAUGUUAUGAAAUUGUUUGAGAAUAUUGUAUAGCAUACUUAAAGAAUAUGAAAUAAACAUAUCUUCGAUUUUCCUGAUCAUCACAAACUCUAUAUAAUCCGUUAAAACAACAAAUUACAUAUAUAUAUAAAUUUAUUUUUGGGCAUGAGGAGGAUUUUUUUAAACAUAUUUUGAAAACCACGCCAUCUUAGUACUUGCUGAGAGAUUAAUAAACAACCAACUGAUGAAUUCAUCUCGAGAUACCAACAUAGUUUCAAGUGAAGAAUUGAGCAAAUUGAAUCUGCUAGUUUUCAAAAUUACUAGAUUUCUUUCAAGAAUCGUAUAGGAUAUGAUUGACUUUCUUAACUAGUUUCUUAUAUGGAACAUAAAUGAAUGAAAGAAAACGUUAUCUGUUAUCUUCAAGGUAAUGUUUGAUAAAGCUUGAUCGAUCGAUCAAAAAAGCCCAAAAACAAUUGAACAAAACCAAAGUUAAUUCUUACUUUAGCGUGUUCAUGAUAGAUAGCUCUAAAGCUAACAAAAGAUAGUCAAAUUUACUUAAUAACCUAAACUUUGUGCAAACCGACGGGGUAUCAAGGAAAAAAGAUGGAUUAUAUAAAUGUCAAACAAAAAUAUUAUUAUAAUGGUUAGAUUAGCUGCAAUGAAAAUUUCUCAACUAAAAGAUUUUCUUCUUGCCUAGUGCAGAAAUCGCCUGUAUAAAAUUCAAGUAUCAAAGAAACCUAUUUUCUAAAAGCAGAUGGACUAUAUAAAUGUCAGACCAAAAUACUAUUACUAAAUAUAUUCUAUAAUGAAUAGAUUACCUACAAUGAAAAUUUCUCAACUUAAAGUUCCUCUUCUUGACUAGUUCAGCAAUUGGCUGUUUUUACUAUCUAAAAUUUGCUAGAGAUAAGUAAUUAUUAAGUUUGGCAGUCAAAAUAAGAGUUUUGAGCGACACAUGCGCAUUCGUAUGAGAUAUAACCUGGUUGUACUGAUUACGGGGUAAAUUUGAAAAAUAUGCUCUUUUUCAACUGAGCUGGUGUUAAUUGAAUUCACAUUAAGUGGACAAUCAGUCAAGCAAAUAUGAAAUCUACUCAAUUAAUGGAAUGUGUUAAACUUUCUUGCAAAUAAAUGUUAUGAAAUUGAAACUACCUCUACCAAGGCCUACUGUUGUACUAUUGUAGAAAUUCAGAUUGAAGGUCAUAUACGUGACAGUAUAAUUGAUAGGGAAAUCAUGCUUUCCAAGUUUUCAUUAAUGAAAAGAUUCUAUGGUAUGAAGGAACAGUGAGCAAUAUAUUUUAGUUUGAAUAUCUUUACAAAAAGAAUAUUAUUUGAUUAAUAACAAAUAUUGAAAGAAUAGCGAAGUGAAAGUUGAAAGACUGCGUCAGCAUAUGAUAAUAUAUUUAAUUCUACAUAAAGGAAAACAAGCCAGGAGAC